GGGGAUACAGCUCAGCGGUAGAGCACUUCGUUUGACCGAAAAUGUCUACGGUUCGAACCCGUAUAGUCC
rnacentral:tRNA from 1 species